rnacentral:rRNA from 1 species
GACAGAGGGGGGCAAGCGUUGCUCGGAAUCACUGGGCGUAAAGGGCGCGUAGGCGGGAUGGCAAGUCGGUCGUGAAAUCCUUCGGCUCAACCGAAGAACGUCGGCCGAUACUGCCCGUUCUUGAGGGAUGCAGAGGAGAUUGGAAUUCCCGGUGUAGCGGUGAAAUGUGUAGAGAUCGGGAGGAACACCGGUGGCGAAGGCGGGUCUCUGGGCAUCUCCUGACGCUGAGGCGCGAAAGCGUGGGGAGCAAACGGGG